rnacentral:lncRNA from 1 species
GUGCCCUCGAGGGCGGGGCGCUCCCGGGGACCUGGGGCUGCUGCUCCCCGAGCCGUGCUUUGCAGAGGCAAGCGUCUAUGAUUUAAAUGCUAGCUUUGCCGCUUACUGGCUGAAAGACUUUAAAUGACAAUAACAAAAAAUGAAGAGGAUGAUGAUGAUGAUACAAGAUACCAUUGCCCGUGUGUACCAGACAUCAUGCUAAGUGAGUGCUACCCACAUCAUUUUUCUUUCUUUUCUUUUCUUUUCUUUUUUCUUUUUUUUUUUUUUUUGAUACAGAGUCUCGCUCUGUCACCCAGGCUGAAGUGCAGUGGCGCAAUCUUGCCUCACUGCAACCUCCACCUCUUGGGUUCAAGGGAUCCUCCCACCUGAGCCUCCUGAGUAACUGCGAUUACAGGCAUGUGCCACCAUGCCCCGCUAAUUGUUUUGUGUUUUUAAUGGAGAUGGGGUCUUACCAUGUUGGCCAGGCUGGUCUCAAACUCCUGACCUCAAGUGAUCCUCCCACCUUGGUCUCCCAAAGUGCUGGGAUUACAGGUGUAAGCCACCACGCCCAGCCUUUACCCACAUUAUUUCUUUUUUCUUUUUAGGAACAGGGUCUUGCUCUGUGGCACAGGCUAGAGGGCAGUGGCAAAUCAUAGCUAACUGUAGCUUUGAACACCUGGGCUCAAGCAAUGCUGCCACCUCAGCCUCCCGAGUAGCUAGGAUUAUAGGCGAGUGCCACCACACCUGGCUAACUUUUAAACAUUUUUUUUGUAGAGACGAGGGUCUCACUAUAUUGCCCAGACUCCUGAACUCAAGGGAUCCUCCUGCCUCAGCCUCCCAAAGCGCUGAGAUUACAGGAGUGAGCUUCCGCGCCCGGCCCCACAUCAUUUCUUUCACACAAACUCAAAUCUUUCUUGACCUCAAAGGGUUGUCCUGCAAAUCAAAAUCAAAUGAUGUCUCCAGGAGAAAGAGCUUAAUUCCCACCACCCUGAGAGUGGGCUGGAUGUCACGACUCGUGGGCGGAUCGCUUGAGGCCAGGAGUUCGAGACCAGCCUGGCCAACACGGCGAAACCCUGUCUCUACUAAAAAUACAAAAAAUUAGCCAGGCAUGGUGGCAUACGCCUGUAAUCCCAGCUACUCGGGAGGCUGAGACAGGAGAGUAGCUUGAACCCAGGAGGUGGAGGUUGCAGUGAGCCAAGAUUGUGCCACUGCACUCCAGCCUGGGUGACACAGCAAGACUCCAUCUCAAAAAAAAAAAAAUAAGUAAAUAAGAAAGAAAGAAAGGAAGGAAGGAAGGAAGGGAGGAAGGAAGAAGGAAGGAAGGAAGGAAGAAAAUGUAGGGUGGAUGCAGUGGCUCACACCUGUAAUCCCAGCACUUUGGGAGGCUGAGGUGGGUGGAUCGCUUGAGCCCAGGAGUUCAAGACCAACUUGGGCAAUGUGACAAAACCCUGUUUCUACAAAAAAAAAAAAAAAAAAAAAAAUUAUCCUGGUAUGAUGGCAUGCACUUCUAGUCCCAGCUACUUGGGAGGCUAGGGUGGGAGGAUUGCUUGAGCCCAGGAGGCAGAGGUUGUAGUGAACCAAGAUCACGCCACUGCACCCCAGCCUGGGCAACAGAGCGAGACUCUGUCUCAAAAAAAAAAAAAAAAUUAGCCUGGUGUGGUGCUACGAGACUGUAGUCCCUGCUACUCGGGAGGCUGAAGUGGGAGGAUCUCUUGAGCCCAAGAAGUCGAGGCUGCAGUAAGCUGUGAUCGUGCCACCGCACUCCAGCCUGGGCAACAGAGUGAGACUCUGUCUCAAAAAAAUUAAAAAUAACAUGAGGAGAAGCUGGGAAGGAGGGCUUAAAGGGACUCUCUCUGCUUUCUUUGUACUUUCCUGUAAAUAUAAAAUU